AUACGUAGGGGGCGAGCGUUGUCCGGAAUGAUUGGGCGUAAAGGGCGCGUAGGCGGCGCGGUAAGUCUGGAGUGAAAGUCCUGCUUUCAAGGUGGGAAUUGCUUUGGAUACUGCCGCGCUUGAGUGCAGGAGAGGUUAUCGGAAUUCCCGGUGUCGCGGUGAAAUGCGUAGAGAUCGGGAGGAACACCAGUGGCGAAGGCGGGUAACUGGACUGCAACUGACGCUGAGGCGCGAAAGUGUGGGGAGCAAACAGGAUUAGAUACCCUGGUAGUCCACACUGUAAACGAUGAAUGCUAGGUGUAAGAGGUAUCGACCCCUUUUGUGCCGGAGUCAACACAAUAAGCAUUCCGCCUGGGGAGUACGGCCGCAAGGUUGAAACUCAAAUGAAUUGACGGGG
rnacentral:rRNA from 1 species